rnacentral:rRNA from 1 species
UGGGGAAUUUUGCGCAAUGGGGGAAACCCUGACGCAGCAACGCCGCGUGCGGGACGACGGCCUUCGGGUUGUAAACCGCUUUCAGCAGGGAAGAAAUUCGACGGUACCUGCAGAAGAAGCUCCGGCUAACUACGUGCCAGCAGCCGCGGUAAUACGUAGGGAGCGAGCGUUAUCCGGAUUCAUUGGGCGUAAAGAGCGCGUAGGCGGCCUCUCAAGCGGGAUCUCUAAUCCGAGGGCUCAACCCCCGGCCGGAUCCCGAACUGGGAGGCUCGAGUUCGGUAGAGGCAGGCGGAAUUCCCGGUGUAGCGGUGGAAUGCGCAGAUAUCGGGAAGAACACC